GUUAGGAAUAUUGGACAAUGGGCGCAAGCCUGAUCCAGCCAUGCCGCGUGAGUGAUGAAGGCCUUCGGGUUGUAAAGCUCUUUAGCCGAUGAUUAUAAUGACUGUAGUCGGAAAAUAAGCCCCGGCUAACUUCGUGCCAGCAGCCGCGGUAAUACGAAGGGGGCGAGCGUUAUUCGGAAUCACUGGGCGUAAAGCGUGCGUAGGCGGCUUUGCAAGUUGGGAGUGAAAGCACAGGGCUCAACCCUGGAAUUGCUCUCAAAACUGCAAGGCUCGAAUUCGGGAGAGGAUAGCGGAAUUGUCAGUGUAGCAGUGAAAUGCGUAGAUAUUGACAGGAACACCAGUGGCGUAAGCGGCUAUCUGGACCGAUAUUGACGCUGAGGCACGAAAGCGUGGGGAUCAAACAGGAUUAGAAACCCUGGUAGUCC
rnacentral:rRNA from 1 species